CAACUAAGGUGCUUUCAGGCAGUGCUUAGAGGAAAAGGCUUAAUUAAGAAGACUGAUGGCCUUUUACUUAAGUCUCUUCAAGAGUGUAGAGAGUCUUGUUUAACUCCUCCAGAUCUAGCAGCAAACCAGAUUUGAAAUUCCAACAUUUUUCUUACCUUGGAAAUUCUCCGUUCUUUAACUUCAGUGAGUCCUGUAAGCACAAGGAAAAAAAGAAUCCAGAUGAAUGUGCAGGAGGAUCCAAUCCCAGCAAUUUGUUGGGAAAAUGAGCUACAAGAGUACUGUCAUCAUCAAAUGAAUUAUUCACUGAAGAAUACUCAGCUGGAAGUUUUACUUUUGUGUUCCUAUCCAGAACAAAAUGAUUCAGAUUGUUAUCCCAGUUCCCAAAAUCUCCAUGCACAACAAACCACCAUCAUCUUGACACCUACUAAUUACUCUGCACAACAGUUGCACCUAAUUGUGUGUUCACCAGUAGAUGAUGAAGAGCUAUGCCUAAAUUCCAAGCUUGCAAGAGUCCAUCAUGUGUGAAAGGUGCCUAAUGACUGGAAAAUUGUAAACAUGCCAGGCAAGGAUGGGGAUGUGGGAAAUACAGGCUGGGCAGACUGGAAAUAUAACUUAGAGAGGAAUGCAAAGCCUUGGGACAAAAUGAGCCCAGGUGUAGGCACACA